rnacentral:rRNA from 1 species
UUCCGUAGGUGAACCUGCGGAGGGAUCAUUACCGAGUUUACAACUCCCAAACCCCUGUGAACAUACCACUUGUUGCCUCGGCGGAUCAGCCCGCUCCCGGUAAAACGGGACGGCCCGCCAGAGGACCCCUAAACUCUGUUUCUAUAUGUAACUUCUGAGUAAAACCAUAAAUAAAUCAAAACUUUCAACAACGGAUCUCUUGGUUCUGGCAUCGAUGAAGAACGCAGCAAAAUGCGAUAAGUAAUGUGAAUUGCAGAAUUCAGUGAAUCAUCGAAUCUUUGAACGCACAUUGCGCCCGCCAGUAUUCUGGCGGGCAUGCCUGUUCGAGCGUCAUUUCAACCCUCAAGCACAGCUUGGUGUUGGGACUCGCGUUAAUUCGCGUUCCCCAAAUUGAUUGGCGGUCACGUCGAGCUUCCAUAGCGUAGUAGUAAAACCCUCGUUACUGGUAAUCGUCGCGGCCACGCCGUUAAACCCCAACUUCUGAAUGUUGACCUCGGAUCAGGUAGGAAUACCCGCUGAACUUAAGCAUAUCAAUAAGCGGAGGA